UUGCAAUGUUAAUAUUUCGUCAUUGAUAUAUAAACUAUCAGACUGCAUGGUCAGUAGUAGUGGGUUUCAGUAGGCCUUUAAAAAAAGGCAAUAUCGCCCAGACCUACCCAGGACCUUCGUAUUGUGAGGCCCCAUGUUAUAUCCUCACUUUGAAAACCCUCCUGGACUAAACAUGCAGAACAGCUUCCUAGGAAUUCCUGAAGAUGCAUAAAGGGGGUGUGUCUGAAACUUAAAGACCCCUUCAUUUUCUCCCUCCCUCCACACACACUUGCUGUUAAGAUACCUUAAAUUUGGGCACCGGUAGGUCGGUUUCUUUGUACUUUGUCCACAAACGUCCGAUUCUGGGGUCUCGUACAAUGUCCACCGGUGGCAUCCCCGGGUUCUGUGGAAGGAGGCAAGGCAUGCACACAUGUGCUGUCAUCUAUUACUCGCGUAAACAAUAAAAGCAGCAAGGAGGCUCGGGUCACGGUGGCAUCACAACACGAUCCGGACACACUGUAGCCCCAUAAUGGAGGUCGCCGACUCGGAUUGCACUUACGGGCAUGCUGAACGUGUGUCCAUCGUAGCGGUAGAGCUUGUGCGAUCCCUUCCUGAGCGCCGGGUCGAUGAUCAACUUGUAACUUCUCCACUGGUGACUCCGCUUCUCCGCCGAGCCCGCACACCGGGUGACUGUCGGUGCCGUUGGCCAGCGCUGGAAGGGACAGGCGGAGGGAUCAAGCAAAAGCGGCGGCGGCGGCGGCGGGGGGCGAAAGCAAGCUAACGUGAAGCAGCGCUAACUCAACACGGUCCCGUAACCACCACCACCACCACCACCCCGUGUCCUCGACACUUCCACGCAAACGUGCAUGACUUUCAGCGACAAUGCAACGCCAUCACGACGGACAAUUGGACGGAGAGAGAGAGAGAGAGAGAGAAGAGAAGGGGGGAAAGCUUACUUGAACUCUGCUUUCUGCCAUGGUCUUCGUGCAAUUUGUUUCGCUCCCCCGGCUUGGACAUGGCUGGUCCGAUCGAGGGGGAUUUCAGUCUGGAAUCGAUUAAGGAAUCGCUUUCGCCCUUUUCCGCCGUUCAGAUUACAUGAUUUAUCUUGAGGAAUAGCGCCUGCCUUUUCGGCGAGAGCCAGCACAUAUUGUGUGUAUGUGUGUGUGUAUGUAUGUGUGUGUAGCUUCUGUCUCUCCCACAAUACACUGCUAGGCUUCGCCAGUGCCGAACGCCAAAUCGCACUUUCGCCACAAACUUCCUCGGCCCCUGCCUGGUCGCAUUUUCUCCAGUUAAAAAAAACACACAAUUAUUUGCGUUAAAAUAUCCUUGGCACUAAAAACACAUACGGCUGAUUUUUUUAGAAGAAAAAAAAAUGUGUCGUUUUAACCGCUCGACGGUGGAGCGUGUCGAAUCUGCCACUCGCGUGUACCUAACUGACAAACAAAUGCAUUGUGCUGCAAUUCGGCGACACAUUAGUGAAAAGAACGGCGACGGAGGAAUAUAUGUCAAUACUUCAGCUGGCACCUUUAUAAUUUCACGUAAAGAAAUACAUAAUAGUGCCUCCUCUCCAUAGAUCAUAGCUUCAAAGAGCCAAACUAACGUCAUCUGACGUCGUUCUGAUAUUUAUUAUAUAUAUAUAUAUAUAUAUAUAUAUUUUUUUUUUUUAAUUCCAUCCAUCCAUUUCCUACCGCUUAUUCCCUUUGGGGUUGCGGUGGGCGCUGGUGCCUAUCUCAGCUACAAUAGGGCGGAAGGCAGUGUACACCAUGGACAAUUCAUCACCUCAUCGCAGUUUUUUUAUAAGUAUAUAUUUUUUUAUUGUUAUUUUUAUUUUGGACAAACACCGUUUUUUUCCCUUUCUUUUUGACAUUGCCUGCUGUUUUUCUUUUUGCAGUGCUCGGGCAAUUGGCUGGUUAACAGUAGGGGCGGAAGGCGGCGUACACCCUGGACAAGUCGCCACAACCAUGGCAGUUUUCUUUAAUAUAUAUUUUUUUAUUAUUAUUUUUAUUUUGGACAAACACUGUUUUUUUUUCUCUUUCUUUUUGACAUUGCCUGCUGUUUUCUUUUUUCAGUGCUCGGGCAAAUGGCUGGUUAACAGUGGGGAUGGAAGGCGGUGUACACCCUGGACAAGUCGCCACAUCAUCGCAGUUUUUUAAAUAAUUUUUAUUUAUUUUUUUAUUGUUAUUUUUAUUUUGGACGAACACUGUUUUUUUUCUCUUUCUUUUUGACAUUGCCUGCUGUUUCUUUUUUCAGUGCUCGGGCAAAUGGCUGGUUAACAGUGGGGGGCGGAAGGCGGUGUACACCCUGGACAAGUCGCCACUCCAUGGCAGUUUUCUUUAAUAUAUAUUUUUUUAUUAUUAUUUUUAUUUUGGACAAACACAGUUUUUUUUCUCUUUCUUUUUGACAUUGCCUGCUGUUUUCUUUUUGCAGUGCUCGGGCAAUUUGGCUGGUUAACAGUGGGGGCGGAAGGCGGGGUACAACCUGGACAAGUCCCCGCUCAUCGCAGUUUUUUUCAGAAUUAAAAUUUUUUUUUUAAAUUAUUUUCAUUUUGGACACUGUUUUUUCCCCUUUCUUUCUGACAUUGCCUGCUGUUUUCUUUUUGCAGUGCUCGGGCAAUUGGCUGGUUAACAGUGGAAGCGGAAGGGGGUGUACACUCUGGACAAGUCGCCACCUCAUCGCAGUUUUUUUAUAAUUAUUAUUUUUAUUUUGGACGAACACUGUUUUUUCCCCUUUCUUUUUGACAUUGCCUGCUGUUUUCUUUUUGCAGUGCUCGGGCAUUUGGCUGGUUAACAGUGGGGGCGGAAGGCGGUGCACACCCUGGACAAGUCGCCACCUCAUCGCAGUUUUUUUAUAAUUAUUAUUUUUUAUUUUUAGCGAACACUGUUUUUUCCCCUUUCUUUUUGACAUUGCCUGCUGUUUUCUUUUUGCAGUGCUCGGGCAAUUGGCUGGUUAACAGUGGGGGCGGAAGGCGGUGCACACCCUGGACAAGUUGCCACCUCAUCGCAGUUUUUUUAAAAUUUUUUUAUUAUUAUUUUCAUUUUGGACAAACACUGUUUUUUUCCCUUUCUUUUUGACAUUGCCUGCUGUUUUCUUUUUGCAGUGCUCGGGCCAUUGGCUGGUUAACAGUGGGGGCGGAAGGCGGUGCACACCCUGGACAAGUCGCCACCUCAUCGCAUAAUUUUUUUAUUAUUAUUUUCAUUUUGGACAAACACUGUUUUUUUCCCUUUCUUUUUGACAUUGCCUGCUGUUUUCUUUUUGCAGUGCUCGGGCCAUUGGCUGGUUAACAGUGGCAGGCUGGCGUAGCCAAUCAGAAGGCGGCAGCAGAGGAGCAGUCUGCUAUUAGAGGCAAGGCUCAGGAGUCCUUCAACAGAGCAGAGAGAGAGGGGGGCCCUGAAAGCUCCCGGCAGCCAUUUUCCUGCUUAGAAACAUGGGGACUUCAUAGGCCUAGCUGGGUUUCCUUUGUCUCACAAAAAAAAAAAGGGAUCUUACACUUGAUUUCCUCAACCUCUCACGGACUAUGAUAAGCCUUAUGAUUGCUCCUUUGAAAAGGAUUUGAGAAGAAGGAAGAGAGAAAAUGUGCUGGAUGUAAUUACCCUGUGACAUUUUGAGCCUUUUUUCCUCUGCCUGGAAUCCAUCUUUGUCCUAACUUGGUCACGGGCACACUCAUAUACAAUAUUAUUUGAAUAGAGAGGGUGUGAAAAAAAUUAAAAAUGUGAAUAAACAGCUCUUUUGAGGAAGUGAGGGUAAAAAAAAACCACAGUUGUAUGUUUAAAUGUAAGUCAGUUUUACACCUAUGGGCCUUGUAUGAGUAGCAAUGAGUAAGUCCAACUCUUCUAUAAUAUUUGCAGCAUGUUUAUUAAACUUGUUUUGUCAAUGUAUCAACUAAGCUACGCCAUAUGUCCUUUUUUAAAGAAAAAAUAUAUUAAUUGUUCUUAUAAAUACAACAUUUAUUGGUGGCCUGUCAUCAUUUGAAAAUACUCUCCUUAUAUUCCCUUGCAUUUGAUGCUUUGAAUAAUGGCUUUUUGAACAUUUUUCUCCCAUAGAAAGCUGAUGGAUUUUUCCAGAGAGAACAGCUCUGGGUGCCGGAUUUGGGUUGCCAUUUAUAAAGAACCAAAUUGUAGUCGACGUGAACUCCCUUCAAGGUCAGAUUUAAUUUCCCAAACCUGUCUAACUGGUGGGGGGUGUGGGGUGGGUUCCAUGCAGAAGUAGAAACCUUCCAAAGCCAAAAAUAAAAAAGGGACUAUAGCCAAAUAUUUACCUCAGCACUUGGGUGAAAUGCAGUAAAACAGGCCUUAAAAUGCAUAGGGGACAGUAUUCCAUCUUCCAUCUUUGGGAUCCUCUAAUAAUGCCAUUAAUAAGAGAUUGGGGAGGUCAUCCUGCAAAAAGAAAAGGAAUCAAUUAUUUGCACAAAAGAUGACAAUCAUUAGUGAUUUUCCAUUACCUCUCAGUCGGCAUCUUCAACCACCAUCAUCUGUUUUUGGGGCAAUAUGCAAAGCUUCUCUCUCUCCCCCCUGAAGACAGGAUAACAGUCAACUAACAUCGACCAUUCUCACUAAGAUUCACCAUUUAAAACCACAAGGAAACCUUAUUUGCCAAGCCCGCUAACAGCCGAGGACUUCAAGGACCUCAACUAAAAUGAGAUGACAGCACGCAGACGAAGCCGAAACAAGGAAAUCACAAGGCCCCUAGCACAUUCCGUCAUAUAUUGUGUGAACUGGACCUGCUUUGCAUAAUAUAUGUGACCACUCCUUUUUAGAGGCGGCCUCCGUGAUGUUGACUGGAACUUCUGAAUAAAUAGAGGGACGCGGGAGCUGAACCUUAGAGCAUAGGGCGAGACUGUGACUAAGUGUGCACCUCUAUGCGUUCUCCUCAUGAGCUAAAUUGAACUUUGUUCCUGCAUGGUUCCUUGCUUUUUCGUCUGAUUAAUAGAUGUCGCCAGUGUUUGAAACUGACAUUUACACGAUGAGUCGGGUGUGUCUUGACCUCCGCCGAACCCCUGAGCCCGACUCACCGAACCCCUAGGGUUCGAUCGAACCCAGGUUAAGAACCACUGAUCUAAGGUAAAAGUUCCAUUUUUAACUCAUUGAUUUAAUUUGUGUUACAACACGAGAACAGAAAGUAAACAUAUCUUGGUACUUGCUAUUAAUUGGAAAAAGUGUAGGAUCAAAUAAGCGUUGAUUCUUCCUACUCUUUUUCAAACAUGUAAAGAGAAAUGAAUACAUGUAUUUUAACUGUAUGCGUGUUCGAAAUAAACAUUCAAUAAAGCAUAAAUAAGCAAAAGGAA